UACGUAGGUGACAAGCGUUGUCCGGAUUUACUGGGCGUAAAGAGCGCGCAGGCGGUCGUUCAAGUCGAGUGUGAAAGCCCCCGGCUCAACUGGGGAGGGUCACUCGAUACUGAUCGACUCGAAGGCAGGAGAGGGAAGUGGAAUUCCCGGUGUAGUGGUGAAAUGCGUAGAUAUCAGGAGGAACACCAGCGGCGAAGGCGGCGCUCUGGGCCGGUACUGACACUGAGGAGCGAAAGCGUGGGUAGCAAACAGG
rnacentral:rRNA from 1 species